CACCGCGGUUAAACAAGAGACCCGAAUCAACUUUACUUUAUGUAAACGGCGUAAAGAGUGGUAACAUGUUAUCAAAGUACCUAAGAUCAAAAUGCAACUGAGCUGUAACAAGCCAAAGAUGCCCCUAAGGCCACCCCAAAAAAGAAGAUCUUAGACCAACGAUUAAUUGAAAUCCACGAAAGCCAGGACC
rnacentral:rRNA from 1 species